UACGUAGGGCGCAAGCGUUGUCCGGAAUCAUUGGACGUAAAGAGCUCGUAGGCGGCCUGUUGCGUCCGCUGUGAAAUCCCGGGGCUUAACCCCGGGCGUGCAGUGGAUACGGGCUGGCUGGAGGCAGGCAGGGGAGAACGGAAUUCCCGGUGUAGCGGUGAAAUGCGCAGAUAUCGGGAGGAACACCGGUGGCGAAGGCGGUUCUCUGGGCCUGUACUGACGCUGAGGAGCGAAAGCGUGGGGAGCGAACAGG
rnacentral:rRNA from 1 species